CCAGCAUUUGCCUGGAGGAACGCCAGCUGUGUCUGAAAUCACUGAGAGAAGAACAGCAGUAUCAAAAGACACUGACAGAUAAUGCAGGAGAGAGCUGGAAGAGAUGCUCUGAGAUAAUAUUUCAAGCCAGCCCUAGCUUCCUGCCACAUUUUCAUUUGGACCAGGCUGUAUACCAGGCUUUUCUCAGCGGACCCCAGCUUCACUUCGAAUUCCCUUGCAUGCACAUAGUAGCCUGUGCAAUGUACCUUUCUUGUGGCCACAAGAUUCAGCUUGUAAGAAGUGACUUGAAAAAUAGGAACGCAUAACUGUUCUGCCCUUACUGGAAAUGAGAGACUGGGUUUUCUGCCUCCGUCCUCACCUGACAGCUGAAAAGAAAAUUGCCCCUUCUGCAGGCACAACUCUUGUUCCUGAAACAAGCCCAGGCACCAGUGACAGCUCCACUGCAUGCUCAGUAUUUUUCCCAUCUUGAACCAGAGAGCAAUUCCAUGUAUCCACUGCUCUGUGGUUCAAAGAGGAACAAGUGUGUUCAUCAAAACAGGUGGAUGUUUGCUUCAUACCAAUUAUUUAUCACUUGAUGGUGAAGACUCAGGUCUUAUUUACUGAGUACCCUCUAAGCUAUCUAAGAUUCAAGUCCACCACUAAGCUUUAUAACAGCUUCCCACAUAUUCAAAGGACAGCCAUCACCAGCUGGGAGGGGACGAAUGAACAGCUACCACAGAUAUAUUCUGGCAGCCACAAGGAUAAAAACCCAGUUCUUGAGAUCAGCCUUCAGUUACAUACUACUCACAUUAAAUCCCUCCUUCUCAAUCUCAAAUUCCCUGCUUAUUCAAUACCCUCAUCCAAGUUACACAACACAUAAACUAGGAUUCUUAUAAUCUUAUUUAUUUAUCACAAUACUGAUUCAAUCUAAACAGUGUCUAGUCUGCAGCAAAAGCAGAAUAGCUCAAGGACUCUUCCAGAAAAGGAAGUGGGGCAGGGAGGGGGAAGUGGAACCAAAUUUGAUAAUGUAAUAAAGGUUGCAUAUAUGCCUUUAUACAAGGACAAAAGGGGACAACUGGGAUUGCAGGGAAAGCUUUAAGCUUGCUGUUUCCUAUCUAUUCUCAACUUUGUAACCAUGAUAUUGUUUCAAAAUAGGAAACUACAUAAAAAACUUCGCAUGAAACACUUCCUAUUAAAUGAAAAAGGAAAUAUUUCAUUAUAUGGAAUAAAAUGCAUCCAAGUGCUGAGAGAGCUGACUGAUGACAUUACAAGGCCACUCCACAUAAUCUGCUAUUGCAGAUGGAGAAGGGCUCCUGAUGAAAAAGGAAACAUCUCAACUCAUCUUCAAUAAAUGCAAAGAGGGGGAUCCAGAAAACUAUGGAAAGUACGGUCUGGUCAGCCUAAGCCUUCACCCCAGAAAGAUUAUGCAGCAAAUCCUUCUAGAAGUCAUGCCUAGACACAUAAAUGGUAAGGUGAUUGCAAACAGUCAUCCUGGAUUUACCAAAGGUGUGUUAUGCCUGACCAACAGGCUGGUCUUCUAUCAAGAAAUGACUGGCUGGGUGGCCGAGGAUUUUCUUCACUUUGAUAUCAAUCAGGCUUUUGACACAGUCUCCCUUGUAGACAAAUGACAGAGAUGUGGUUUGGACAGGUGGUUUACAGAGUUAGUGGAAAACUGGAUUGGAUUCUCAAUGUUGUGAUCAGUAGUAUUAAGACCAAGUAGCAGCUGGUCUUUCUUGAUAUUUCUCAGGAUUGAUACUAAGGUCAAUAUUCUUAAUAUCUUCAUUAGUGACUUACACACACUUAAUGACCUAACCACCACAUUAAAGUAUCAAAUUUGUGGAAUUUCUUAAAUUGGUGGAAGUGGUCAGUCGACUCAGUGGUAGGAUGUCCAAUUCAGGGGGACCUCAACAGGUGGGAAAGGCAGGCCAACGCCUAUGUCAGGAACUUAAAUCAAAGCAACAUCCUACAUCUGAAAACAGAAUAAACUCAUACAAAAUCACAGGCAGAGGACUGACUGAAUAAAAAGCUGAUUUGCAGAAAAGGUCCUUUUUGAAACUUCCUGACAAACCGAACAGGAGUCAGUGCCUAUUGAAGAUUAAUCUGCUCAGAAGGUGUCCAAAUAAACAUUUCUUCCUCUCCUGUUAAAGUGUACCUCUACAGACAAAACAAAUUUAAAAGACAUGCAAACAGGGUGAAAGAUAGUUUAAAAAGAAUGCAAGUUUCAGCAUAGUCAAAAGUAGUUUUCAGGCAGAGUUCUCCAAAGAGAAAGAGUAAUUGCAACUUUAAGGACUACUGCCCAAAACAACAUCAGCUGAAGUGCACAAUGGUCUUGUUAUCAAAAAAGCCCACAGCUAAACUCGUAACAGCUUAAUUGAAAAGCCUGUCAUGUGGAUCAUACAUUUUCCUCUUAGCAAGAUCACUGUUAACCAGUUAGCAAAGUUUAAUUAAGAAUAUCAAACAUGAUUAUUUUCUAAAGGGUCACUUGAACUGUUCUAAUGUUAUUUCACACCAUUUCAUUCUCACCCAAAUGUACUGAGACUACUAAUUAUGUGAUGGAAUUCCUAAGUGGUUCAUCUGAAACCAGACCUACAGCAUCUAAAAAAACAAAACUGUAUUUGUGUCAUUCCUAAAAACCAGCAGUAAAGAAAACUGCUGGUAAGGAAACAACACAAAUCAAAGUGUUCUCAGCCUGUGAUUUGAUAUUUUCUGUUGUAAGCCUGUCAAAUGUACCAUAAGAACACAGACCCAAGGUGAGCCUGACAUAUUGAAAAUAUUACAGAUGAUGCUAUACUUAAAAGGUAAGAAAACUGUAGACGGAACAUUAAAGACUCAAAAAAUAUUAAGACAAGUGAGAAAACUUUGGUAUUUGUUGCAAACAGUAAUUAUGUUCAGUGAAAAGUGAGUAAGGCUUUGUAUUAGCAGAAAAAUACAAAUGCUAAACUGAUUCUGGAACAGUAAAUUAUUUACUCCAGAAAAGAGUCAAACCACCUCAGCAAUUUACAACUCCAGAAAGCAAAUACAGAACAAAGGAAUAAGCAAGACUUUCAGGAACUGCAGAAAAGAAUUGCUUAGUACAAAAGGUAGAGGUAAUUAGUGCUCAAUAAAUUGGCUGGCGUUUGCUUGGUC